UGCCGCGUCCUCCCCGCAGGAUGUGAAGCUGACCGCCAGUAACGACGACUACUACUUUGUCUUCGAAGACUUCCUCUACCAGGUCUUGCUGUGUUUCUCGCGGGACGCCGCUGUCUUGGAGCACUUCAAGUACAACAGCGCCACGCCGCCCAAGUCUUACAUCCAAGGCAAAGAAGGGGAUGACGACUACGCCGUUUUCUAUCCUCCCAACGGUGAGCGCCCAUUUUGACCUUCCAAAUGCCUUUCUCGAGGUCAAAUUCAGUAGCCACGAUAAAGAAGACAUUGAAACAUUUUUCCCACAGUUUAAAAUAGAGUGCAACAAUUUUGAAAUAUAAUGUAAUUGCAAUUUUUUUCCUCAAUAUAUUGCGAUAAUG